rnacentral:rRNA from 1 species
UACGAGGGGGGCAAGCGUUGUUCGGAAUUAUUGGGCGUAAAGGGCGCGUAGGCGGUGCGGUAAGUCUGAUGUGAAAUCUCCGGGCUCAACUCGGAGUCUGCAUCAGAAACUACAUGACUAGAGCAUUGGAGAGGGUAGCGGAAUUCACGGUGUAGCAGUGAAAUGCGUAGAUAUCGUGAGGAACACCAAAGGCGAAGGCGGCUCACUGGUCCAUUACUGACGCUGAGGUGCGAAAGCGUGGGGAGCAAACAGG